GCUGGGCAUGGUGGCACAUGCCUGUAGUCCUACUAGCUACUUGGGAGGCUGAGGCAGGAGGAUCGCUUGAGUCCAGGAGUUUGGGGCUGUAGUGGACUAUGCUGAUAGGAUGUCCACACUAAGUCCGGUAUCAAUAUGGUGACCUCCUGGGAGCAGGAGACCACCAGGUUGCCUAAGGAGGGGUGAACCAGCCCAGGUGGCAAAUGGAGCAGGUCCAAAGUCUAUUAUCACCUCAAAAAAUUUCGAAACAUAACCUUACUCUGUCUUUUAGAAUAUACAGCCACGAUGUUGACUCUC
rfam:Canis lupus familiaris chromosome 30, whole genome shotgun sequence.